rnacentral:lncRNA from 1 species
AACGUGGGUAAAGCAGCAAAGGAAGGAAACUCAUGGGCAGAGAAACAUGGAGUGUCCAGGUGUCCUCUCCCCGUGGAGUCAUGCAACACUCAGUGUUGAUACCCAAAUAUCAGUAUGAGUUCCAGGCCCUCAGCAACUAUUGAAUUACUUUCUCUCACAGUAGAGAGAGAGAGAGAGAGCAGGAGUGGGAGAGGCAAAGGAGAGGGAGAGAAGAUCUCAAGCAGACUCAUGCUGAACACAGAGCCAAGUCAUUUCAGCACCAGGACUACUAGAAGUCUCCACCUUUAUUGCUGACUGGCUGCCCGCUGUGAUGGAGGAGCUUAUAUCUGACCUUGCGAAACAUUGUCAUGAGGCACAAAUCAGACAGAUCUGAACCAGGACACGCAAGAUACAUCAACCACAAAUUCUGUUUAUCCCAGUAUAUGAAUGAUGAGACCUCAGCUAAACCAACCUAAUUGUAAUUGCGCAUGAGCUCUGUGUUCUAAACAAAACUAGACCUGCCAAAGCCCCACCAACUCUGCCCUGUGACUCACUGUACCUUCCAUGUUCUCAGUUGACUUUCCUAGCUCUCCCUUCAGAGAAGCUCAUGGUUCCACUAGGCUACUCUCUACCCUGUGAGACAAGCUAAUAAAAC